rnacentral:rRNA from 1 species
GAAAGUAAGAAAGGGCGUAUGGCGGAUGCCUAGGCUCACGGAGGCGAUGAAGGACGUGAUAAGCUGCGAUAAGCUUCGGGUAGGUGCAAAUAACCCUUGAUCCGGAGAUUUCCGAAUGGGACAACCUAGCCGUCUGAAGGACGGUUACUAGCACUUAAGUGUUAGAGCUAACGCAGGGAACUGAAACAUCUUAGUACCUGUAGGAAGAGAAAAUAAAUGAAUGAUUCCCCCAGUAGUGGCGAGCGAACGGGGAACAGCCCAAACCGUUGACGUCGCAAGGCGCCAGCGGGGUUGUAGGACCGCGACAUUGUAUGCAAAUCGUGAACAGAACACUUUGGAAAAUGUGACCAUAGACGGUGAUAGUCCAGUAUGUGAAGCGAAAUGCAGCAUAGCGGUAUCCUGAGUAACGCGGGACACGAGGAAUCCUGCGCGAAUCUGCCGGGACCAUCCGGUAAGGCUAAAUACUCCCGUGAGACCGAUAGCGAACGAGUACUGUGAAGGAAAGGUGAAAAGAACCCCGAGCAGGGGAGUGAAAUAGUUCCUGAAACCAUACGCCUACAAGCGGUCGGAGCAUCUUACGAUGUGACGGCGUGCCUUUUGCAUAAUGAUCCUACGAGUUACCGUCACUGGCGAGGUUGAGUGUCAUGAGACACGUAGCCGCAGUGAAAGCGAGCCUGAACAGGGCGCAUAGUCAGUGGGGGUAGACGCGAAACCAAGUGAUCUACACUUGGCCAGGAUGAAGUCCCGGUAACACGGGAUGGAGGUCCGCACCAAUAAGCGUUGAAAAGCUUCUGGAUGAGCCGAGUGUAGGAGUGAAAGGCCAAUCAAACUUGGAGAUAGCUCGUACUCCCCGAAAGGCAUUUAGGUGCCGCGUCGGAUGGUCACCGUGAGAGGUAGAGCGACCGAUAGGACAAGAGGGCUUCACCGCCUAUCGAGUCCUGACGAACUCCGAAUGCUCACGGUCUGCAGUCCGGCAGUAAGGGGGCGGGUGCUAAGGUCCGUCCCCGAGAGGAGAAGAAUCCAGACCGCCGUCUAAGGUCCCGGAGUUCUGCCUGAGUUAGUCUAACGAAGUCUGGUCCCUAUGACAGCUAGGAUGUUGGCUUGGAAGCAGCCAUUCAUUCAAAGAGUGCGUAACAGCUCACUAGUCGAGGGUCCGGGCAUGGAUAAUAAUCGGGUAUAAGGCAGACACCGAAGGCGCGGGAUAGCAUUUAAGAAAGUAUCGGUAGGGGAGCAUACUCACAGCGUGGAAUGGUGUACGUAAGUUAUCCUGGAGCGGUGAGUAAAGCAAAUGUAGGAAUAAGUAACGAUAAGGAGGGUUAGAUUCCCUCCCGCUGUAAGACCAAGGUUUCCCGGGCAAUGCCAAUCAGCCCGGGGUCAGUCGGGUCCUAAGUCUAAGCCGAACGGCGAUGGCGAUGGCAGAGACGGUUAAUAUUCCGUCACUGCCGCAUGGGGCGACGUGGAGACGGAGCAGUGAAACCACCGCGGGGCGACGGAAGUCCCCGUUGAAGAGUGUAGGUGUUGAGGAUGGCAGGCAAAUCCACCGUCCGAGCUGAACUUGAUAGUAUGGAGUCUUCUUCGGAAGAAUCCAAUAGUGUGGGUAAUCAUACUCCCGAGAAAAUCCGCUAAGCUUAACCCAUGCGGCACCCGUACCGCAAACGGACACACGUGGUCGGGUAGAACAUACUAAGGCGUUGAGAGAUUCAUGGUUAAGGAACUAGGCAAAUUGACCCUGUAACUUCGGGAUAAAGGGUCCUCGUGAUGAGCGAGGCGCAGAGAAUAGGUCCAGGCAACUGUUUAACAAAAACACAGGGCUGUGCAAACUCGAAAGAUGACGUAUACAGCCUGACACCUGCCCGGUGCCGGAAGGUUAAGAGGAGAUGUCACUCGCAAGAGGAAGCAUUGAAUUGAAGCCCCGGUAAACGGCGGCCGUAACUAUAACGGUCCUAAGGUAGCGAAAUUCCUUGUCGGGU